GGGGGCGACAUGGAUUCGACCGGGCAAUUGAAGUGCGGGUGGCGUGUCGCGGUUUGUCAGCACCGCGUUAAAAGCCGACAAAAAAAUAAAUGCCAAUAAUGUGAAUAACAAUAACUUGGUAAUGGCUGCCUAAGAAAAGGCGCCCGAGUCGAGUUGCCAUGACACACGGCGACAAAGGCUGCGUAUUCAAUGUGGGUCUCGUUCCGAUUCACUGGAGGUACGGUCGGGAUUAAAUUUGUUCCUAUCUGGCUCUCGAAUUACCCUGUCGAUUGGGGAAGGAGAGAGCGAGAACUCAAAAAAUCGACUACACACGUAGAAGCUCUCAUGGACAUGUCGCGGGACGCGGGUUCGAUACCCGCCGCCUCCAUUU
rnacentral:tmRNA from 1 species